rnacentral:rRNA from 1 species
AGAGUUUGAUCCUGGCUCAGGACGAACGCUGGCGGCGUGCUUAACACAUGCAAGUCGAACGAUGAAGCCUUUCGGGGUGGAUUAGUGGCGAACGGGUGAGUAACACGUGGGCAAUCUGCCCUUCACUCUGGGACAAGCCCUGGAAACGGGGUCUAAUACCGGAUAAUACUCUGUUCCGCAUGGGACGGGGUUGAAAGCUCCGGCGGUGAAGGAUGAGCCCGCGGCCUAUCAGCUUGUUGGUGGGGUGAUGGCCUACCAAGGCGACGACGGGUAGCCGGCCUGAGAGGGCGACCGGCCACACUGGGACUGAGACACGGCCCAGACUCCUACGGGAGGCAGCAGUGGGGAAUAUUGCACAAUGGGCGAAAGCCUGAUGCAGCGACGCCGCGUGAGGGAUGACGGCCUUCGGGUUGUAAACCUCUUUCAGCAGGGAAGAAGCGCAAGUGACGGUACCUGCAGAAGAAGCGCCGGCUAACUACGUGCCAGCAGCCGCGGUAAUACGUAGGGCGCAAGCGUUGUCCGGAAUUAUUGGGCGUAAAGAGCUCGUAGGCGGCUUGUCACGUCGGAUGUGAAAGCCCGGGGCUUAACCCCGGGUCUGCAUUCGAUACGGGCUAGCUAGAGUGUGGUAGGGGAGAUCGGAAUUCCUGGUGUAGCGGUGAAAUGCGCAGAUAUCAGGAGGAACACCGGUGGCGAAGGCGGAUCUCUGGGCCAUUACUGACGCUGAGGAGCGAAAGCGUGGGGAGCGAACAGGAUUAGAUACCCUAGUAGUCC